AAACUCAAAGGAAUUGACGGGACCCGCACAAGCAGCGGAGCGUGUGGUUUAAUUCGUUGCUACACGAAGAACCUUACCUGGGUUUGACAUAUAGGUUGUAGGGAACUGAAAGGGACCGACCCUUCGGGGAGCCUAUACAGGUGUUGCAUGGCUGUCGUCAGCUCGUGUCGUGAGAUGUUCGGUUAAGUCCGCUAACGAGCGCAACCCUCGUCGUAUGUUAUAUGUGUCAUACGAGACUGCCGGUAAAAGCCGGAGGAAGGUGAGGAUGAUGUCAAGUCAGCAUGACCUUUAUAUCCAGGGCUACACACACGCUACAAUGGUCUGUACAAUGGGUGGCCAAGCCGCGAGGCGGAGCCAAUCCUGAAAGCAGGCCUCAGUUCAGAUUGCAAUCUGCAACUCGACUGCAUGAAGCCGGAGUUGCUAGUAACCGCAGGUCAGCAAUACUGCGGUGAAUACGUUCCCGGGGCUU
rnacentral:rRNA from 1 species